GGCUGCGGCUGCGUCCCCUGUACGCGCCGCCUCCAGCAAUGGCGUCGGUGUCCCGACUCAGGCCAGGGCACUAGCCGGACACAGGUGUGGCUGUUCGGUCCGACUGCACAGCACAGGGGGCGACAGUGUGAGCUGUCUUGGGAUCGGGGUGUCCCAGGCUCUGAGCCCCCAACCUUGCACCCACUUGCAGGCCAAAGUCCAGGAGGCAAGAAGGAACGAUAAACUCAGGCAGAGGUGUAGUGGUAUUUGCUCUGACAUGACCUUGGGCUAUACUAUCCGAAGGUGCUUCGUGCCUACAGACACGACCUCUUAAAAGGAAAGUCAGAGGGGUCACGGGCUCUUCUUGGCGUGAUUGGAGACCAGAGGACCAGGUGUGUUAGCUGAAGAUUUCAGCUGUUUACUUAGUUCUGUAUUUCGUGAAUGUAUUUCCCCAGCUUAUAACUUAAUAAAUUCCCUGAUACCCCUUAA